CCCGAGCGUUGUUCGGAUUCAUUGGGCGUAAAGGGUGCGUAGGCGGCGCGGAAAGUCCGGCGUGAAAGGCAGAGGCUCAACCUCUGGACUGCGUUGGAUACUUCCGUGCUUGAGGACUGGAGGGGAGACUGGAAUUCACGGUGUAGCAGUGAAAUGCGUAGAUAUCGUGAGGAAGACCGGUGGCGAAGGCGAGUCUCUGGACAGAUCCUGACGCUGAGGCACGAAGGCUGGGGGAGCGAACAGGAUUAGAUACCCUGGUAGUCCCAGCAGUAAACGAUGUGAGCUUGAUGUGGGGGGAUUCGACCCCUUCCGUGUCGAAGCUAACGCGAUAAGCUCACCGCCUGAGGAGUACGGCCGCAAGGCUAAAACUCAAAGAAAUUGACGGGGACCCGCACAAGCGGUGGAGUAUGUGGCUUAAUUCGAUGCAACGCGAAGAACCUUACCUGGCCUUGACAUGCAUUGUGUCGUCGGUGAAAGCCGGCUAGUCCUGGAAACAGGACGCUUUGCACAGGUGCUGCAUGGCUGUCGUCAGCUCGUGUCGUGAGAUGUUGGGUUAAGUCCCGCAACGAGCGCAACCCUUGUGGUCAGUUACUAACCGGCUUAGCCGGAGGACUCUGGCCAGACUGCCCUGUCAAACGGGGAGGAAGGUGGGGACGACGUCAAGUCAGUAUGGCCCUUAUGGCCAGGGCUGCACACGUACUACAAUGCCCGGUACAAUGUGAACCGAAACCGCGAGGUGGAGGAAAUCGCUCUUGAAAACCGGGCCCAGUUCGGAUUGGAGUCUGCAACUCGACUCCAUGAAGUCGGAAUCGCUAGUAAUGGCGUAUCAGCAACGACGCCGUGAAUACGUUCCCGGGUCUGUACACACCGCCCGUCACAUCAUGGAAGUCUCCUGUACCCGAAGCACGUGCGCCACCUUUAGAGCAGCGUUCGAAGUAUGGGAGGUAACUGGGAUGA
rnacentral:rRNA from 1 species